UUUGUAGCUUUGCCAUUUGUUUUAUUGCUACUACCAUCAUCAAUCAGCCGAGAGAACUUUUUUAAGUGGCAACUAUGGAAUUUUAUGAAGCACAGCUAUUAUUAUUUUUACUCAAUUAGAGGCUCAACGCAGCGCUACCCGCACAACAUAACAUAACAUAACAUACCCAUACCAUACGCUGGUUGGUCCCUCGGAGCAAUAAAGAGAGAUCAUCGAUGAGUACGACUCCUUAACUGAAACCCGUGCCCUUCUCGUGACUGACCCAUCUUCUGUUUCUUUCAUCUCCCUCAGAUUUCAGACAAAGCUUCUCAACUGUUCUUCUUCAUCUAACCUUCUAUAAUUCAUCAGUCUUUGAUAUAUGCCUUUUUCUCCAGUAUGGGACCAUGGUGGUGGGAUGGGAGGGCUUCCGCGUUUUCAAGUGACUCAUCAUCAGUUGUACAAUAAUGCAUAUUAAUACAUGGGAAAUACCGCACUAUAUACGACGUGGCAUCUUCGGCUUGGACCUGGUUGCUGCAAAUUUGCUGAUUAGCCAUUGCAGCACCAUCUCAUUCGCAAUUCACAAGUCAUCAUCUGAUCUGGUUGGUAGAAGAGCAAGUGCUGAUUAGGAUCAAUUAAAUUAGGGAUCGGAUCAUCGUCUGUAAUGUCACGCUGGAUAGCAUACCACAAAAAAGCUAUAUAUUCUACAAAUUGUACAUGGACUUGUUAGGCAAUCAAACAGCCCACGAUAGCUGCACUACUAUAUGUUAAGUAUUGAGGCAGCCCAAAAAAAACGACUUAAAUCAGACAAAACCACUUGAGAUUUAUUUAAUGAAAAUCUUCUGAUUGAUCAUUUGCUUCA